GCCAGAAGGGUGAAGCGCUUGCC
rnacentral:siRNA from 1 species